UACGAAGGGGGCUAGCGUUGCUCGGAAUCACUGGGCGUAAAGCGCACGUAGGCGGAUUGCUAAGUCAGGGGUGAAAUCCUGGAGCUCAACUCCAGAACUGCCCUUGAUACUGGCGGUCUCGAGUCCGGGAGAGGUGAGUGGAACUGCGAGUGUAGAGGUGAAAUGCGUAGAUAUCGGGAGGACACCUGUGGCGAAAGCGGCUCACUGGACCACAACUGACGCUGAUGCACGAAAGCUAGGGGAGCAAACAGG
rnacentral:rRNA from 1 species